AUGGAUGUGCAGGAGCUGCGCUUCUGGCGGUACGUGCUUUUGGUAAUUGCGAUCGGAGAAGGCGAGCAGACAGUGACGCCGGCAGCCAUGCUGGCGACCUUGCAGCAGCAUUGCGGGGUGGUGCCGUCCGAGGUGGUCAUCGAGGUCGCGUGCCCACCACACGACCUAUGGCUGACCUUCUCAACGGAGGAUAAGUGCUCUGAGGUGCUCCUUUCAUCAAUGAAGAUCAAGUGUUGUCGGCGUUGGAUUCACUUUUCGCGUUGGUGCAGAAUGGUUCGUGCUCAGCCAGGUGCUCUGAAGUACAAGAGCAAGCUCGGCUUUGAAGGCCUUCCUAACCAGGCCUGGACGACGGCGUCCGUGAAAGAUGUUCUCAAGUAG
rnacentral:rRNA from 1 species